rnacentral:rRNA from 1 species
UACGAAGGGGGCUAGCGUUGUUCGGAAUCACUGGGCGUAAAGGGCGCGUAGGCGGCUUUGUAAGUCGGGGGUGAAAGCCUGUGGCUCAACCACAGAAUUGCCUUCGAUACUGCAUGGCUUGAGACCGGAAGAGGUAAGUGGAACUGCGAGUGUAGAGGUGAAAUUCGUAGAUAUUCGCAAGAACACCAGUGGCGAAGGCGGCUGACUGGUCCGGUUCUGACGCUGAGGCGCGAAAGCGUGGGGAGCAAACAGG